CAUGCAUCUUAAUUGGAGUGGAAAUUUUUAGUAUUUUCUGUGCAGAUUUAGAACUGUUUUAGUAUUAUCGAGACUAUCUUUGCAUAAUACUGAUUUGAAUAUUGAUGUGCAUUUGCAUUUGCAUUUGGUUCUCUUGGGUUUUGUGCAGAUUAGCUUGGUAGAAAUGCCAGAGCGUAGCAAGAAAAAGUUGAUGGCUUUGACCACUAAUGUGAUGAGAGAUGAUAGUGAUAAGGGCCUUGGAUUACAGUAAGUUAUGAAAUAUUUGGUUGCCAAAUAUGAAGAGCUAGGGUGUGAAGUGAAAUGGAUGGGCAAGCCUGAUAAGGUGAUCUAGUCACAUUGGUCUGGUUACCGCUGUUAACUUCACUUCAUGUGAACCUUUAGCUUAAUACAUAUUUCUCUUGCACUUGACUACUAAGAUGAAUUUUGAGCAAGGCUACUUUUUGCUUUGAAGCAAACUUUGGUGUAGAAAUUUUGAAGAUUGUUGCUCAUAUGUUUCUAGGCUAUCCUUUGUAGGUUUUGGGGUUUUCUUUUGUGACAUAUGUUCAAUCAUGAAUUUGGAAAGAAAAUUAAUGGAAAGCCCCAAUUUUUGGAUGAUUAUGAAA